GCUCAGAGGUUAAAGUGUCUACCUGGAAUGCAGAAGACCCAGGUUCGAUCCCUGG
rnacentral:tRNA from 1 species